rnacentral:rRNA from 1 species
AAAAUCCACCGUCCGAGCUGAACUUGAUAGUAUGGAGUCUUCUUCGGAAGAAUCCAAUAGUGUGGGUAAUCAUACUCCCGAGAAAAUCCGCUAAGCUUAACCCAUGCGGUACCCGUACCGCAAACGGACACACGUGGUCGGGUAGAACAUACUGAGGCGUUGAGAGAUUCAUGGUUAAGGAACUAGGCAAAUUGACCCUGUAACUUCGGGAUAAAGGGUCCUCGUGAAUAGCGAGGCGCAGAGAAUAGGUCCAGGCAACUGUUUAACAAAAACACAGGGCUGUGCAAACUCGAAAGAUGACGUAUACAGCCUGACACCUGCCCGGUGCCGGAAGGUUAAGAGGAGAUGUCACUAGCAAUAGGAAGCAUUGAAUUGAAGCCCCGGUAAACGGCGGCCGUAACAAUAACGGUCCUAAGGUAGCGAAAUUCCUUGUCGGGUAAGUUCCGACCUGCACGAAUGGUGUAAUGAUCCGGACGCUGUCUCAACCAUGAGCUCAGUGAAAUUGUAGUAUCGGUGAAGAUGCCGAUUACCCGCGAUGGGACGAAAAGACCCCGUGAACCUUUACUACAGCUUAGCAUUGACCUUGGUCAUCCGAUGUGUAGGAUAGGCCGGAGGCUUCGAAGCGGGAGCGCCAGCUUUCGUGGAGCCAUCCUUGAAAUACGGCCCUUUGGCUGUCUGAGGUCUAACGCGUGAAACGCGGACACUGCUUGGUGGGUAGUUUGACUGGGGUGGUCGCCUCCAAAAGCGUAACGGAGGCUUCCAAAGGUGCCCUCGGGUCGAUUGGUAACCGACCUCAAAGAGUGCAAUGGCAUAAGGGCGCUUGACUGGGAGGCAGACAUGCCGAGCAGGCAGGAAACUGGGGCAUAGUGAUCCGGCGGAUGUGUAUGGAAACUCCGUCGCUCAAAGGAUAAAAGGUACUCCGGGGAUAACAGGCUGAUCCCCCCCAAGAGCUCAUAUCGACGGGGUGGUUUGGCACCUCGAUGUCGGCUCGUCACAUCCUGGGGCUGGAGAAGGUCCCAAGGGUUGGGCUGUUCGCCCAUUAAAGUGGCACGCGAGCUGGGUUCAGAACAUCGUGAGACAGUUCGGUCUCUAUCUAUCGUGGGCGUGGGAGUUUUGAGUGGUGCCGUCACUAGUACGAGAGGACCGUGAUGGACAGACCUCCGGUUUACCAGUUGUGCCGCCAGGCGCACCGCUGGGUAUCUGAGUCUGGAUUGGAUAAGCGCUGAAAGCAUCUAAGUGCGAAGCCAGCCGCAAGAUGAGAACUCCAUUGAGGGUCGUCAGAGACGAUGACGUUGAUAGGAUGCAGGUGUAAAGACAGCGAUGUCAAAGCCGAGCAUUACUAAUUGCAC